AAUUUAAAUUUUGCUUAGUGCAGAAUUUGUUCGAACAAGAAACUUGAGGUAGAUACCCAAACAGUGUGAACUGGAGAUAAUCUUGGUUCAAAACCUCUGAAACACCAUGCGAUACCAUGAUCAGGCUUCAUCAUAGCGCCUGAUGUCUUGUGGACCGCGCCGCUGUCUAAUCAGAGCUAUUCUCUGCGAUCUGCAUGUAAUUACAUCUCUACCUGAAAAGUGACGGCGCCAUUAAUUGGAAGCAAAAUGGUAAAGAAUAGUUUGUAAAUUGGUCUCGUCGAGAGGGUGACGCUUGUUUCGUGCAGGAAAUUCUUGCUGCUUUGCUGCAGUACCUGGGGUGUACUGAUGAUCCCACCUUUAUUAUAUAAUGAGGGGAAAAUGCAGGUGACUUUGUGUAUAUGAAAAGAUAUUCAGCAGACUUCAUCAGCAGUAUU